GCUGGGUGUGGUUGCGUGCGCCUGUAAUCCCAGCUACUCGGGAGGCUGAGGCAGGAGAAUCACUUGAGCCCAGGAGGUGGAGGUUGCAGUGAGCUGAGAUCGCACCACUGCACUCCAGCCUGGGUGACAAAGUGAGAUACUGUCUCAA
rnacentral:SRP_RNA from 1 species